rnacentral:rRNA from 1 species
GAUGAACGCUAGCGGCAGGCUUAAUACAUGCAAGUCGAGGGGCAGCAUGACUGUAGCAAUACAGUUGAUGGCGACCGGCAAACGGGUGCGGAACACGUACAGAACCUUCCUUCGAGCGGGGAAUAGCCCAGAGAAAUUUGGAUUAAUACCCCAUAGUACAACGGAGUGGCAUCACUUUGUUGUUAAAGAUUUAUCACUUGAAGAUGGCUGUGCGGCUGAUUAGGUAGUUGGCGGGGUAACGGCCCACCAAGCCUGCGAUCAGUAACUGGUGUGAGAGCACGACCAGUCACACGGGCACUGAGACACGGGCCCGACUCCUACGGGAGGCAGCAGUAAGGAAUAUUGGUCAAUGGACGAAAGUCUGAACCAGCCAUGCCGCGUGGAGGAUGAAGGUCCUCUGGAUUGUAAACUUCUUUUAUAUGGGACGAAAAAAGGGUUUUCUAACUCGUCUGACGGUACCAUAUGAAUAAGCACCGGCUAACUCCGUGCCAGCCGCCGCCGUAAAAC